ensembl:lincRNA
CUGUUGUACCACCCCGGGAGUGUUAGGGGCUUUCCCCCAAAAACACUCAGAUUGUUAAGUGUACUCUUAACACCAUCUGUGGAAUUGUUUUGCACAAGUAAACCACAUGCUAACACAGUGCUCACUUUGAGAGAACUCUCCAAACAUCACAAGGACUGUUCCAAAGUCCAGACCAUUUCCUGUCUCUGUCAGAGAGCAAAUAACAACAAAAGACUUACUCCAAAUACAAGUCAAACAGAACGUUGGAGAACCUCCACAGUAAUUUGCUUUGCACAACAACUAGAGGAAAUUUUAGGCGUAACCUGCAGAGAGCAGUGCAUAAACCCCUUGUACUUAGGAUGUACUUCCCAAGUUACACAGGAAGACAAGGCCAAUGAAAACCAAACAGAAAUGGCAUUUCUUAUUACUGACAUGGAGAGCGAUAGGAUCAUUCAGCUAAUCCAGUUAAAGAGAAAAAAAUGUCUUUCAUCAGCCAACUGCAUGCUUCAGGUGUUCAGCAACUAAAGUUUGGAGACCAAAACUAGAAAGAUAACUGGGCUAAGAGGACAGCCAGUUGGCCCUGGGCCCUUAAGGUCACCAAAGAUUCAGGACAUGAGGGAUCCUACAUCUUUGGUAAGUCACCCAAUCUCCUUAGCAGGGAGAUUGCUGGACACCAAAUCAACAAUUGUACUGUGUGACAAAGGAGGGUCACCAAGAGGUAAGUCUCCCUUGCAUUCACUGAAAGCAAAAUGGUCAAGCAAGGCUGUGACCCACCCUGAUGGCUGACACUGACAGAACUGCUGAGAGGCUCUGUGCAUAACUCCCAAAUAAUGCCUGAGGAGACUUAACUGACCUUGAUAGAUAGCAAGAUGUUCAUAUUGAUUGACACAGGUUUCACUUUAACUUGUUCCGAAACAUCCAGCAGAAAAAUGUAACUAAAGAUAUUAAGUCAAGAUCAUAAUAAUAAAGCUAGAUAUAUUAAGGGGCUCUCAUCACUGACCCCUUCUGACAGUUUCCAGAUACAUUGGUAGCUGACCACUGCUAUGGGACAUGAAAAAAAUACAGCAAAAUGUAUAAGAACUCAAAAAGAGUUUUUAAAUUUCUUAGCUAAUAUUGUCCUUCAAAUUGUUUGUCUUCUUACAGCUGAAACUAGACUUAUGACAAAAUAUCGGACUUAUAGAUAACCUUCAUCAGGAAAGGAGCCUAAGAACCAGCAGGUUACAAUCACUCUUCCAGUCCCUUAAGAAUAGUUUCUAAAUGUGGCUCUUUCCCCAACCUGCCUUUCUAUUCUAGUGCUCAUGCUUCGACUAUACUUGCUCUAAUUUCUUGAAAAAUUGUGCUUGCCUAGAGGCUGCCAAACUCCAAGCGAUCACGCAAAUGGAACCAACAACAAAUGUGCUAGUCCUUUUACUGGAACCUACCAGAUUGACCUUAUAAAGAUAGUUUCUGACUGCUAAAUGAUGACAUGACUUCUAUCUGAGGUCCAUUAGAUUAGCUCUCUGGAGAAGACCCCUGACUGUGGUCUUCCCCACAUAGACACUUCCCAGUUUGAAGCAGUGAAUGGAAACUACUCCUUUUAUCCCCUAACCACAGUUAGGGAUACUUCUUCAGAGGGGACAGCUAAGUUAAUUAGAAAAUAUUAUAAGGCACUUGGGCAAGGCUGGACCCUCAGCACAGAAAAUAACUGAGGCACAUUUGGUAAAGGUUAACAUUAAAAAGAGAGCAAAUACUACAACCACAUACUUCCCCUAGAGAUGAAUAGCAGUGGUUGAUUUUCUAGACAUCAGCCACCUUCAUUGGGGACGAGAACAUCCCUAGCUAGCCCAUUCCUUCUGGAAAAUCCAUGUAUGCAUCCCCAUUUGAUCCCCAUUUAAUCGGCAUUACCUGGGCAACUGUACUUUCAUCUUGGUUGAUUAUGAUUUUGUCCUGCCUCAUUUCCAUUGGACCGUAUAGCUUUGUCUUUCUUUGUACCCGCCUCACCUCAUGGCUUUGACCUAUAAAACUCCUUUGAGAAGCAAGAUGGGUGGGCAACCCACCUCUGGUCUCCCUUCUGUCUCUCUUAGACAGAAGCUAUCUUUCUUUCAAUAAAUUCUUCCUACUCUUAAAAAACAAAACAAAAGAAAAAAACAGACAAAAACAAAUAAUAAAUGAAUAAAACAAGGACAUGUUAGAUAGGAUAUUACUUUUCUGUUGGUACUACAAUGCACUGCCUCAAACUAUGACUGAAAACAACAAAAAUCCAUUAUCUUACACUUUCAGAGGUCAGAAGUCAGACAUCAUUUUCACUGGGCUGAAAUCUGUUUUGUGAAAAUUGUAUACAUCUUUCAUUUUAGCAGAUACAUAGCUGCCCAUCAAUAUUUGAAUGACAUCACAAUGACAUCUAGUGGCUGUAGAUAUUUCUUCCAUCUCUAAAAGGUAUAUCUAAGUAUAAGAAGAACUCUAACCUGGAUAUAAGAAAGAACAAUGAACCA